UGUGGUCGAUCAGGUCUGACUGUGUUGAGUCUGGAUCUGCUCUGAGGGAGUGUUUAACAUCAGGUUCCUCUUCCUCCAUCCUGGAUCUCACCUGCUUAGACCUGCUGCUUCAGCCCGACAUCUCUGUGUCCUCAUCCGUGGACGGGGUCUCCGAGGCCCACCAGCAGGGCUUUCAGGAGUCCAGGGGCUCCACCUUCACCAUCAGCUGCUCCAUCCAGCCACAGUACCCAGGAGGCUCCUUCCAGCUCACCUUCACCUCCUCCAUCACAUCACAGAACUACACCCAGCCAGCUGUCAAUCACUCUGCCCACUUCCUGUUUCCUGCCGCAGAGCCCGCACACCAAGGAAGCUACAGCUGUGUUUAUCACGUCCAUGUUUUUUCUCAUGACUUCUCCUCUGAGAGCCGUCGGCUGUCUCUCAGUUUCUCAGGACUCCAGGAUCAUAAAAAAGUAACUUCAAAAGAGCCUGAUGAUGUCAGGUUGGUGGGAGGAGCCAGUCGCUGUGCAGGAACACUGGAG